UACGUAGGGGGCAAGCGUUGUCCGGAUUUAUUGGGCGUAAGGAGCGUGUAGGCGGCCAUGCAGGUCCGUUGUGAAAACUCGAGGCUCAACCUCGAGACGCCGGUGGAAACCGCAUGGCUAGAGUCCGGAAGAGGAGAGUGGAAUUCCUGGUGUAGCGGUGAAAUGCGCAGAUAUCAGGAAGAACACCCGUGGCGAAGGCGGCUCUCUGGGACGUGACUGACGCUGAGACGCGAAAGCGUGGGGAGCAAACAGG
rnacentral:rRNA from 1 species